GAUGAACGCUAGCUACAGGCUUAACACAUGCAAGUCGCGGGGCAGCAUGGUGGUUGCUUGCACCCCCUGAUGGCGACCGGCGCACGGGUGAGUAACGCGUAUCCAACCUGCCCUUCACCACGGGAUAACCCGGCGAAAGUCGGACUAAUACCCAAAGUUGCUCCUUGACGGCACCCGAUUUGGUCGAAAGGCGUGGCGGUGAAAGAGUGGGGAUGCGAUCGAUUAGCUGGACGGCGGGGUAACGGCCCACCGUGGCUACGAUCGGUAGGGGUGCUGAGAGGGAGGCCCCGCACACUGGAACUGAGACACGGUCCAGAGGGCUGCGGGAGGCAGCAGUGAGGAAUAUAGGGCAAUGGGCGGAAGCCUGAAUCCGCCAAGUAGCGUGCAGGAUGUCGGGUCGAUGGGUUGUAAACUGCUUUUAUAAGGGGAUAAAGUGGCUCACGUGUGGGCUUUAGGAGGUACCGAAUGAAUACGCACCGGCUAAUUCCG
rnacentral:rRNA from 1 species